rnacentral:rRNA from 1 species
AGGACGAACGCUGGCGGCGUGCUUAACACAUGCAAGUCGAGCGGUAAGGCUCCUUCGGGAGUACACGAGCGGCGAACGGGUGAGUAACACGUGAGCAAUCUGCCCUUCACUCUGGGAUAACCCUCGGAAACGAGAGCUAAUACCGGAUACGACCACUUCAGGCAUCUGAUGGUGGUGGAAAGUUCUGGCUAGGGAUGAGCCCGCGGCCUAUCAGCUAGUUGGUGGGUAAUGGCCCACCAAGGCGACGACGGGUA